CUCGUGAUCCACCCGCCUCGGCCUCCCAAAGUGCUGGGAUUACAGGCGUGAGCCACCGCGCCCGGCCUAUUCAAGUUUUAAGCUACUUUUAAACAACGAUUUGUAGUCUUCAAAAUAUAGUUUUACAUUUUUUUUUUUUUUGACAGAGUCGCUCUGUCACCCAGGUUGGAGUGCAGUGGUGUGAUUUUAGCUCACUGCAACCUCCCUCUCCUGGGUUCAAGCGAGUCUCAUGCCUCAGCCCCGAGUAGCUGGGAUUACAGGUGGGCACCUUCACACCUGGCUAAUUUUUCUAUUUUUUUGGUAGAGACGGGGUUUCACCAUGUUGGCCAGGCUGGUCUUGGAACUCCUGGCCUCAAGAGAUCUGCUAGCCUCGGCCUCCCAAACUAUUGGGAUUAUAGGCAUGAGCCACUGCACCCGGUCUAAUUUUACAUUUCUUUUGUUAAAUAUAUUUUUACACCUUAGAAAGACUUUUGCUUUUUCAGACAACUGAUACUUAUAUACUCAUCUUAUAUCCUGCAACUCUGCCUAGUUUUUUGUUUCUAAUAGCUUUUCCUUUGCAGAUUCCUUAACAUUUUCUAUAUAUAAGACCAUGUCAUCUGUGAAUGAGAUUGUUUUUAUUUUUUACUUCUUAUCUGAAUGUCACCGGUUUCAUUUACUUGCCUAAUUGCCCUAGCUAGAAGGUCCUGUAUGAUGUUGAACAGAAAUAGUUAAGAGUGGAGAUCCUUGACUUGUUCCUGAUCUUACAGAAAAAGCAUCUAGUCUUUCACCAUUCAGUAUGUUAGCUGUGGGUUUUUCAUCCAUGUCCUUUGGGUUGAAGAAGUUUUUCUCCUAGUUGUUUCAGUGCUUUUAUUAUGAAAAGGUAUUGGAUUUUGCCAAAUGCUUUUUCUGUGUCUAUUGAGAUGAUCAUAUGUGUGCAAUUUUGCAACUUUUACUGAUAUAGUGAAUUACAUUAAUUGAUUUGCA
rnacentral:lncRNA from 10 species